GGCCAGCAGCCGCGGUAAUACGGAGGAUGCAAGCGUUAUCCGGAUUUAUUGGGUUUAAAGGGUGCGUAGGCGGGUAUUUAAGUCAGUGGUGAAAGACUGUUGCUUAACGAUAGCAUUGCCAUUGAUACUGAAUAUCUUGAGUAUAAUUGAGGUAGGCGGAAUGUGUAGUGUAGCGGUGAAAUGCUUAGAUAUUACACAGAACACCGAUUGCGAAGGCAGCUUACUAAAUUAGAACUGACGCUGAGGCACGAAAGCGUGGGGAUCAAACAGGAUUAGAUACCCUGGUAGUCCACGCCGUAAACGAUGAUCACUGGAUGUUUGCGAUACAUAGUAAGCGUCUGAGUAAAAGCAUUAAGUGAUCCACCUGGGGAGUACGUCGGCAACGAUGAAACUUAAAGGAAUUGGCGGGGGAC
rnacentral:rRNA from 1 species